GUGCUUACAUAGGCAGCACACAUACUAAAAUACGAACGAUACAGAGAAGAUUAGCUUGGCCCCUGGGUCAAGGAUGACACACAAAUUUGUUAAGUGCUCCAUAUUUUU